rnacentral:rRNA from 1 species
CGUAUUUAUUCUCCUUAGUACGAAAGGACAGGGAUAAAAGUGCCCAUACGGACUUGUAUACACUCAAAUUAAAAAC